rfam:Croceicoccus naphthovorans strain PQ-2 plasmid p1, complete sequence.
GAGAGCCGGAUGCACAACGAAAGGUGCAAGUCCGGUUCGGAGAGCAGGCGUGGGAAACUGGCGGUGGAGACACCCCACAGCGCCCACGUCUGACUCUAC